rnacentral:tRNA from 1 species
AGUUAAUUAACUUUUAAAUAAAGUUUAUGUCUUGAAAACAUAUAAUAGAGGUUAAAAUCCUCUAUUAACUU